GUUGUCUACUAUAGCUUGUACGGAAUUAGUAAGAAAGACUUGAACAAAUGGCGGAUUUGAUCUCGUUAAUGCCAUCUAAAAAUUGAUUUUUUCACAAUAUUUCGCACAGAAAAGGAUCUUGGAAUGACUAAAACCGCCAUUUCAUGGAAGUAUAUAUUAGCAGAAUUGUUUGUGGAAGACAGAACAGAACUUGCAAUAGUCUCAGAGCGGUGGACCAUUGAUGAGAAUGUUCUUAAGUAUCCGUCCAACUUGAAGGGACCAAAAAGGAUGAAGAGCAUAAUGGAUCAUGUUAUACCAGAAGAUUCCUGGACCGAGUAUGAAUACAGGAGGAUUAGAGUCUGUGUCUCAGAGAGGUGGCCAUUGCUUAGGAUGUUCUCAAGUAUCCGUCCCACAUGAAGGGACAAAAAAGAAUGGAGAGCAUCAUGGAUCAUGUAAUACCAGAAGAUACCUGGACCGAGUAUCAAUACAGGAAGGAGGCUUAGAGUCAUUGUCAGGUGGCCAUUGCUUAGGAUGUUCUCAAGUAUCCGUCCCACUUGAAGGGACAAAAAAGAAUGGAGAGCAUCAUGGAUCAUGUAAUACCAGAUACCUGGACCGAGUAUCAAUACAGAAGGCUUAGUCUUUGUCUCAGAGAGGUGGCCAUUGCUUAGGAUGUUCUUAAGUAUCCGUCCCACUUGAAGGGACAAAAAAGGAUGAAUAGCAUCAUGGAUCAUGUAAUACCAGAUACCUGGACCGAGUAUCAAUACAGAAGGCUUAGUCUUUGGUUACUGGAAUCAGGCAAAAGAAAUGGAUCAACGUGCAGCUGAAAAUGAAUCUGACGGCUUGAAAACAACUCAUGAAACAAGGAAGAAGAGUUUGUCGAGAAAACCUGCAAUUUACUUUCCCAGUUCUUUUUUCCUUGGAAAUUGCAAAAGAACACAUUCUUCAUCAUCCAACGAGAAUUCAAGAGCCAUUGAUCCAAUUUCUCCAGUGAUUUAAUUGUUUACUCAAUAUGCAACUGUUGUGUUCAAUUCUGACUUGGUGUUAUCUUGUAUGUCAUGUGUUAACUAAUAUGUCAUAUAUGUGUUCUAAUGGACAAUAUAAUCAAGUUAAGUGCA